rnacentral:rRNA from 1 species
GACGAACGCUGGCGGCGUGCUUAACACAUGCAAGUCGAACGAAGAGCGAUGGAAGCUUGCUUCUAUCAAUCUUAGUGGCGAACGGGUGAGUAACGCGUAAUCAACCUGCCCUUCAGAGGGGGACAACAGUUGGAAACGACUGCUAAUACCGCAUACGAUCUAACCUCGGCAUCGAGGAUGGAUGAAAGGUGGCCUCUAUUUAUAAGCUAUCACUGAAGGAGGGGAUUGCGUCUGAUUAGCUAGUUGGAGGGGUAACGGCCCACCAAGGCGAUGAUCGGUAGCCGGUCUGAGAGGAUGAACGGCCACAUUGGGACUGAGACACGGCCCAGACUCCUACGGGAGGCAGCAGUGGGGAAUCUUCCGCAAUGGACGAAAGUCUGACGGAGCAACGCCGCGUGAGUGAUGACGGCCUUCGGGUUGUAAAGCUCUGUUAAUCGGGACGAAAGGCCUUCUUGCGAAUAGUUAGAAGGAUUGACGGUACCGGAAUAGAAAGCCACGGCUAACUACGUG